rnacentral:rRNA from 1 species
GAAACGGAUUUAUCCGCCUAGAGAAAAGCUCGCGGCUGAUUAGCUAGUUGGUAAGGUAAUGGGCUUACCAAGGCGACGAWUAAGUAUCUGGUUUUGGAGAAGGACGAUCAGACACCCUUGGGAACUGAGAACACGGGUCCCAUAACUUCUUACGGGARGGGAACCAGUGGGGGAAAUUUUUUCCGGCAAAGGGGCGAAAAGCCCUUGAACUGAAGCAAAUUACCCCGCCKUGGAAGGGGGAAAGAACCGGCCUUAAUGGGGUUUUGUAAAAAACCCUUCUUUUUUUCAAGGGGGAGGGGUGGA